rnacentral:lncRNA from 1 species
AUGAAGGGAUUCAAGUGCAAUUUUGGAGGUUUAGGUGCCAAUUUGGGGGUCUCAGGUGCCAAUUUGGGGGUGUCAGGUGCCACUUUAGGGGAUUCAGGACCGAAUUUGGGGGUUCAGGUGCCAAUUUUGGGGUCUCAGGUGCCAAUUUGGGGGAUCCAAGAGCAAAUUUUGGGGUUCAGGUGCCAAUUUGGGGGAUCCAGGACCGAAUUUGGGGUCUCAGGGGCCAAUUUGGGGGAUUCAGAACCGAAUUUUGGGGUUCAGGUGCCGAUUUGGGGUCUCAGGUGCCACUUUGGGGUCUCAGGGGCCAAUUUGGGGAUCCAGAACCGAAUUUUGGGGUUCCAGGUGCCAAUUUGGAGGAUUCAGGACAGAAUUUUGGGGUUCCAGGACCGAAUUUUGGGGUUCAGGUGCCGAUUUGGGGGAUUCAGAACCGAAUUUUGGGGAUUCAGGACCGAAUUUGGGGUCUCAGGGGCCAAUUUGGGGGAUCCAGAACCGAAUUUUGGGGUUCAGGUGCCAAUUUUGGGAUUCAGGACCGAAUUUUGGGGUUCCAGGACCGAAUUUUGGGGUUCAGGUGCCACUUUGGGGGAUUCAGAACCGAAUUUGGGGGAUUCAGGUGCCAAUUUGGGGGAUCCAAGAGCAAAUUUUGGGGUUCAGGUGCCACUUUGGGGUCUCAGGUGCCACUUUGGGGUCUCAGGGGACAAUUUGGGGGAUUCAGAACCGAAUUUUGGGGGUUCCAGGUGCCACUUUGGGGGAUUCAGGACCGAAUUUGGGGGAUCCAGGACCGAAUUUUGGGGUUCCAGGUGCCAAUUUGGAGGAUUCAGGACAGAAUUUUGGGGUUCCAGGUGCCAAUUUGGGGGAUCCAGGACCGAAUUUGGGGUUCAGGUGCCGAUUUGGGGGAUCCAGGACCGAAUUUGGGGGAUUCAGAACCGAAUUUUGGGGUUCAGGUGCCAAUUUGAGGAUCCAGGACCGAAUUUUGGGGUUCCAGGUGCCAAUUUGGGGAUCCAGGACCGAAUUUUGGGGUUCAGGAGCCAAUCCAGGUAUUUUUCCCCCUCCCCAGCAGCUCCCAGGUGUUUCCUGCAUUUCCCCUCUGCCCAGUUUGGGGCACCUGAUGCAGUUUAA